CGAAGCAGCUUCCAAUCCCAGCCCCUGGACCAAGGCAGGCCAAGGCCACAGUAUGUGCCUCCCCGGGCCCCUGCACUGCCCUGACUCUCACGCCUUGGUACCCAGAGCCACACCCUGCACAGGUCCUAAACCAGCCAACUCCAGGGGUCCUCAUCCGUCCUAGAGCCGUGAGUGGCCUUAGUCCGUGCCUCGCCCUCAGCGGAGUGCAGCUACUUAGCCAGCCUGGGAAGCCAGCCACACAGCCCCUGAGUCCCUGGGAACAAAGACAAAAGAACCAGCAGCAAAGCCGGAACUUCGUGGAAAUAAGAGGGAAGGAAGGGUCCCUCCAUGUCUGCGGUGUUACCUGCGCCCGGUGGCCUCGGCCUACCAGCAACUUCCCCACCGGGGAGCAUUCGACCGGUGGUCACCGACUCAACCUGUGUCCUAAGUAAGUUUCAAGUUCCUACAGCCCCAGCUCCAGGCCCACCCCGCCGCCCCUAGAUCUGACCAAUACUCUCCUCUCCACUAAGUCCCGCCAGAGUAGAAGUGAGGGUCACUUUCACCCAGGGAAGGCCGUGGUGACACGGUG